GGGCCCGCACAAGCGGUGGAGCAUGUGGUUUAAUUCGAUGCAACGCGAAGAACCUUACCUACUCUUGACAUCCACAGAAUCUGGUAGAGAUACCUCAGUGCCUUCGGGAACUGUGAGACAGGUGCUGCAUGGCUGUCGUCAGCUCGUGUUGUGAAAUGUUGGUUAAGUCCCGCAACGAGCGCAACCCCUAUCCUUACUUGCCAGCGGGUAAUGCCGGGAACUUUAGGGAGACUGCCGGUGAUAAACCGGAGGAAGGUGGGGACGACGUCAAGUCAUCAUGGCCCUUACGAGUAGGGCUACACACGUGCUACAAUGGUCAGUACAGAGGGUUGCGAAGCCGCGAGGUGGAGCUAA
rnacentral:rRNA from 1 species